rnacentral:rRNA from 1 species
GACGAACGCUGGCGGCGUGCUUAACACAUGCAAGUCGAACGGAAAGGUACUGCUUUUGUUGGGUGCUCGAGUGGCGCACGGGUGAGUGAAACGCGAGUAACCUGCCCUUGACUUUGGGAUAACUUCAGGAAACAGGGGCUAAUACCGGAUAGGAGCUCUUGCUGCACGUUGGGGGUUGGUAAGUUUCGGCGGUUGUGUAUGUACUCGCGGCUCAUCAGCUUGUUGGUAGGGUAGUGGCAUACCAAGGCUUUGACGGAUAGCCGACAUUGGCAGGUGACCGGCGACAUUGCUCCUGAGGUACGGCCCAGACUCCUAUUGGCGGCAGCAGUGGAAAAUAUUACACAAUAAGCCGGAGCCUGUUGCAGCGACGCCGCGUGCGUAAUGACGGCUUACGAGUUAUAAACAUCUUUCUAAGGUAACGAAGCGUGAGUGACGGUAAUGGGUAAAGAAGCACCGGCUAACUACGUG